rnacentral:rRNA from 1 species
CGCAGCCGCGGUAAUUCCAGCUCCAAUAGCGUAUAUUAAAGUUGUUGCAGUUAAAAAGCUCGUAGUUGAAUUUCGGGAUCAGUACGCUGGUCGUGCCUUCGGUAUGCACUGGUUUCACUGAUUCCUCCCUUCUGAAGAACCGUAAUGCCAUUCAGUUGGUGUGGCGGGGAAUCAGGAUUGUUACUUUGAAAAAAUUAGAGUGUUUAAAGCAGGCUCGCGCUUGAAUACAUUAGCAUGGAAUAAUGAAAUAGGACGUUUGAUCCUAUUUUGUUGGUUUCUAGGAUUGACGUAAUGAUUAAUAGGGAUAGUUGGGGGCAUUAGUAUUCAAUUGUCAGAGGUGAAAUUCUUGGAUUUAUUGAAGACUAACUACUGCGAAAGCAUUUGCCAAGGAUGUUUUCAUUAAUCAAGACGAAAGUUAGGGGAUCGAAGACGAUCAGAUACCGUCGUAGUCUUAACCAUAAACUAUGCCGACUAGGGAUCGGAUGAUGUUAAUUUUUUAAUGUACUCAUUCGGC